AGCCAGGGGUGCUGGGGAGGGCGGGGGCUCGUGCAGGCUGAUGCGCCGCGGGGCGGGGCCUUGGGGCGAGUGUGGCCCCUCGGUUUGGCCCCUUACGGGCUCACGUCUGCGGCCGCGGUAACAGCGGCCAGACUCGAGGGGAAGGGCCGGCCGCGCCACCACGGAAAUCUGACGGGAGCUGGGGGACCCCGAGCCCUCCCCCAUUGCAAGGGGCCACCCCCCCGGGACGCGACGCGACUCCUUUGACCCAACAGGGUGCUCAGGGAGCCGCUGGGGCGGGGGCAGGUGUUAACCCGGAGCGGCCUCCUGCGAGGCUAAAGCCACCCCCAGCUGAGGCUGCGGGGCAGAGGGGAGGCGCCGUGCAGCGGGUCUGUGACGGGGGCUGUUUGAACCUGAUUAAGGAGUGGCUCUAUCUAAAAGAUGGACUAGAAAGUAUCAACAGUUUCUGAAGGGAGUUGCAUCCAUUUUUUCACACCAAAGGGGACAGUAGCCAUUGCAUAGAGUUGUGAGGAUGGGAAGUGAAUGGAGAUGAAAAAAAUAGAGAGAUACUCAGGAUUGUGACAGACAUGAGGACCCAGUGGACAAAAAAGGCAAACUUUCUUUCUGUAUUUUUCUUGAAGAUUUGUUCUCCUUUGUUUUGGGUUCCCCCCUCCAACAUCUAGGUGUGAUUACUGUAAUUCCCUGCUGGCUGGUGUCUCUAUUUUGCUGACUGAAAGGUUUAGCUUAUCCAGAUUUCACUAAGCCUUUUAUUAGCACCAGACCAACUCAACACUUAACUUGUGUUUUCCAGCUUUUUGUUGUUGUCAUAUGAUAGCUUUCCUUGUAGAUUUUAAGAUCUUGCUCAUGACUUAUAAGCGCUCCAUGGACUGCAUUCUUUAUAUAUUUGUGUUCAGAGGUUGGAAAGAGCUGCUGUUGGCUGAUGCAUUACACUAGAACUUCUGUGGUUACCUCUUCGUUUCUGCAGAAUUUAAACUUUCACUUUAAAAAUGUCUAGCCCUUAUAAUCUCAAAGAAAAUAUUCCAAAUUUGAACUGAGGCAGUACUGUCUGUCUGAGUCUACAGACAGAACAGCUUUGAGAGAUGUCAGCUAGCCCCCUUUGUCUCAAUAUCUUAAUGCUGAAACCUAAUUUUGACACAAUUUUUUAUCAACAUUGUUAACAGUUUCACUGCUAAUGAUUUCAGCAGAAACAUCCAGCUAGUCUGGGGUUGUUGACAAAAGUUUGGGAUUGCAGAAAGAGAUUAGUAGAAGGUCACCACUUUUAUUUUUCCAAUCUGACCCACUUGAGCUUUUUUAGCCAUUUAGUCUCUGUCUUGGCAUCUUGUAAGUAGGAGUUAUCUGUUCCAUUGUUUAAAAUUAAGCUCUUUGAAGAUAUUAUUUUCUCUUCACAUGCAUCUCAUCUAUAGACUGUGUUACUUUCUGUUGUCAGGAACUCUGAAUACUUCACUGUAU
rnacentral:lncRNA from 1 species